AGUCUAUGUAGCUCUUUCAGUUGAAGAUAUCUUCUGACUGUCUGAUCUUUUUCGUUGCGGGGACUUUAUUCAGAGUCCAAUCUAUUCGUUGUUGCUGCUUGAACUUUAUUCGGAGUAGAAUCUGUUUGCAUUUGCUGCGUAAACUUUAUUCAGAGUAAGAGUCAGAGUCGAAUCUGUUCGUUUUUGCUGCAGGGACUUUAUUUGGAUAACCAUUCUGGAAUCAUUUACUCCGUGACGUUGAAGGGUUUGAGUUUCGUUGUCAUCUCCUUGUAAUGCAAUGCAGAUUAGAUGUUGAUUUGUUAUGAAAUUUGAUCAAUUUCGAUUAUAUAUAUAUAUCACGAUUAAUAUAUAUAUACUAGUAGGGUCAACAAGCUGUAAAGUCAACUUGCAAAGGUACAAUUAAUAUUUUGUUUUCAUGAAACUUCAUAGCUCAAUGUUGCCAUAUAUCACGAUCUUGAAUUGUUUUUUGUCGUUAUUUGUCAUGAAAUUUGCAGCUAAACAAAUGCAUGUGUGCUGGAUUUUGAGGUUGUUUCACUGGGCUACCCUAGUCCAUGCUUUUGGAUCUGACAAGGAGACUACAUUGAGAUCCUUAUUUCAAAGUGACAGAAAGAUGAUAAGGAGUUUGAAUCAAUGGCGGGUUCUCUUUUCUGGGUGGUGUGUAGUGUUGGAGAUACAAUUUAUAUACAUUCAUGUGAACAGGAUAACUCGUAUGCAUUCAAGUUAAUAUGAAUACUACUGGAGAUACAAUUUAUAUACAUUCAUGUGAACAGGAUAACUCGUAUGCAUUCAAGUUAAUAUGAAUACUACUGGAGAUACAAUUUAUAUACAUUCAUGUGAACAGGAUAACUCGUAUGCAUUCAAGUUAAUAUGAAUACUACUGGAGAUACAAUUUA